UUCUUUUGCUUCUUUUUU
rnacentral:sRNA from 1 species